AUUGAACGCUGGCGGCAGGCUUAACACAUGCAAGUCGAGCGGAGAUGAGGUGCUUGCACCUUAUCUUAGCGGCGGACGGGUGAGUAAUGCUUAGGAAUCUGCCUAUUAGUGGGGGACAACAUUCCGAAAGGAAUGCUAAUACCGCAUACGUCCUACGGGAGAAAGAAGGGGAUCUUCGGACCUUGCGCUAAUAGAUGAGCCUAAGUCGGAUUAGCUAGUUGGUGGGGUAAAGGCCUACCAAGGCGACGAUCUGUAGCGGGUCUGAGAGGAUGAUCCGCCACACUGGGACUGAGACACGGCCCAGACUCCUACGGGAGGCAGCAGUGGGGAAUAUUGGACAAUGGGGGGAACCCUGAUCCAGCCAUGCCGCGUGUGUGAAGAAGGCCUUAUGGUUGUAAAGCACUUUAAGCGAGGAGGAGGCUACUGAGAUUAAUACUCUUGGAUAGUGGACGUUACUCGCAGAAUAAGCACCGGCUAACUCUGUGCCAGCAGCCGCGGUAA
rnacentral:rRNA from 1 species